rnacentral:misc_RNA from 1 species
AAUAACAGUAAAAUGAGACGUUUAUGGUGAAAAGGAUACAGAUAUAGAAAUAUGUCAUUCUUCUCAAAACAGACUAAUGAGGGAAGAGUGUUUAGUCAUAAGUAUCGAAAAGAUCAAUAUUCUAUUGUGUUUAGUGUUUUGCUUCACGGUCUAAAGCAGAUGUUUUACUGAGUAAGAGUGAAAAUGCUUACCUUGGGAGUGAGUUGAGCAGACACAACAUCAAAAAAGGAAGACUCUUUGUUACAAAAUGUCACACAUCCACUCGAUCGAAG